rnacentral:rRNA from 1 species
CCAUGCCGCGUGAGUGAAGAAGGCCUUCGGGUUGUAAAGCUCUUUCGGCCGGGAAGAAAUCGCAUGGGUCAAUACCCUGUGUGGAUGACGGUACCGGAAUAAGAAGCACCGGCUAACUACGUGCCAGCAGCCGCGGUAAUACGUAGGGUGCGAGCGUUAAUCGGAAUUACUGGGCGUAAAGCGUGCGCAGGCGGUUUGGUAAGUCAGAUGUGAAAAUCCCCGGGCUCAACCUGGGAACUGCAUUUGAGACUGCCAAGCUGGAGUUUGGCAGAGGGGGUGGAAUUCCACGUGUAGCAGUGAAAUGCGUAGAGAUGUGGAGGAACACCGAUGGCGAAGGCAGCCCCCUGGGCCAAUACUGACGCUCAUGCACGAAAGCGUGGGGAGCAAACAGGAUUAGAUACCCUGGUAGUCCACGCCCUAAACGAUGUCAACUAGGUGUUGGGAGGGUUAAACCUUUUAGUGCCGUAGCUAACGCGUGAAGUUGACCGCCUGGGGAGUACGGCCGCAAGGCUAAAACUCAAAGGAAUUGACGGGGAU